rnacentral:rRNA from 1 species
ACGGGUGAGUAACGCGUGGGAAUCUACCCAUCUCUACGGAAUAACGCAUGGAAACGUGUGCUAAUACCGUAUACGUCCUUCGGGAGAAAGAUUUAUCGGAGAUGGAUGAGCCCGCGUUGGAUUAGCUAGUUGGUGGGGUAAAGGCCUACCAAGGCGACGAUCCAUAGCUGGUCUGAGAGGAUGGUCAGCCACACUGGGACUGAGACACGGCCCAGACUCCUACGGGAGGCAGCAGUGGGGAAUAUUGGACAAUGGGCGCAAGCCUGAUCCAGCCAUGCCGCGUGAGUGAUGAAGGCCCUAGGGUUGUAAAGCUCUUUCACCGGUGAAGAUAAUGACGGUAACCGGAGAAGAAGCCCCGGCUAACUUCGUGCCAGCAGCCGCGGUAAUACGAAGGGGGCUAGCGUUGUUCGGAUUUACUGGGCGUAAAGCGCACGUAGGCGGACUAUUAAGUCAGGGGUGAAAUCCCGGGGCUCAACCCCGGAACUGCCUUUGAUACUGGUAGUCUUGAGUUCGAGAGAGGUGAGUGGAAUUCCGAGUGUAGAGGUGAAAUUCGUAGA